GGGGGCCGGGGGAGGGGAGGGAAGGGCGGCUCCAUCACAAAAAGCUCCACAGAUGAAACUGGGUCGCAGAAGAAACUGGGCCACCAGGGCAACUUUACCACCCAGGAAAACCAGGUUCCCCUCGCUUCACCACGCCCACUUUUCAACAGCAGUGAUGAUAACGGAUGCUGUGGAAAUGAGAUCCACCGCUGCGUCCUGGGUGCCAGGAAGCACUGUGACGAUGUGGAGGUGGGGGAAGCGUCUUCAGCAAGCGCAUUCACCUUUGGAGUCGCCCCAUUAGGAUGAAAACUCUGUGACGAUGGGGUUUGGGGGAAGCAUCUUCAGCAAGCGCAUUCACCUUUGGAGUCUCCCCAUUAGGAUGAGUCCACAUAGUGGGGCUGCUAAAAGAAAGCAAUUACGGCAUCCAAAUUGGAUUUUGUUUCUCCGCGUGAUCAUUCGAUGUGGUUUGCUCUACCUCUGGGUUCAGUUGCAAUUUACGUCUGCCCCUUUAAUUUGCAAAGGUGAUUGGCAGCUCACUAAUAACUUGGUGCCGAUACAGGAGAUUACAGGAUGAAAAUAAAACCCAGAAUUCUA